UCCCCGAUAGUCUAGUGGUGAGGAUAUCUGCUUGUCAUCAUUGGGGAAUUAUUCCCUGACAACGAUUCGCAGGGGACCGGGGUUCAAUUCCCCGUCGAGGAG
rnacentral:tRNA from 1 species